AUGCCCCGUCUUUCCAGUUUCUACCUCCCACAAAAAUCUCAAUCUGCGCCGCCACCAAAGCCUAUCCCCCGCGGCAGUUCUCGGCCUGGCUCUGCCCUCCGGCGCCAACUCCACCCUCGGCCGGCGGCUUCCCGUUCUCCUAUGUCGGCAUCCUCGCGAGUGGGAGCCCCGUCGGCCGUCGGUGUCCUCGCCGUUGCCACGCCGCGCCCCUCCAAACUCUCAUUGCUACACCGUCCCGCAAAGAUGGGAUCCGGAAUGUCAAGAAGGGGGAGAAGGAGCGAAUACAUUAAUCAGAUAUUCGAGGAUUUAACAUUAUGGAAAUGUUCAGCAGAUGAUCUUUUGUAA
rnacentral:rRNA from 1 species